rnacentral:ncRNA from 2 species
AAAAUCCAAGGUGAUGGAGCUCACCGAAAACCGCCUUUUAGGCUAAUAGCUCCUACGUAUCG